CGUUCUCNGUUCGGAUUGUAGGCUGCAACUCGCCUACAUGAAGUCGGAAUCGCUAGUAAUCGCGGAUCAGCAUGCCGCGGUGAAUACGUUCCCGGGCCUUGUACACACCGCCCGUCACACCAUGAGAGUUUGUAACACCCAAAGCCGGUGGGGUAACCUUUUGGAGCCAGCCGUCUAAGGUGGGACAGAUGAUUGGGGUGAAGUCGUAACAAGGUAUC
rnacentral:rRNA from 1 species